rnacentral:tRNA from 1 species
GUCCCCUUCGUCUAGAGGCCUAGGACACCGCCCUUUCACGGCGGCAACAGGGGUUCGAAUCCCGUAGGGGACGCCA